rnacentral:rRNA from 1 species
UUCCACCCGUUCCCAUCCCGAACACGGACGUUAAGCCCUGCAGCGCCGAUGGUACUGCACACGCGGUAGAGUAGGUCGUCGCCUUCU